GAUGAACGAUGGCGGCGUGCCUAAUACAUGCAAGUCGAGCGAACGGACGAGAAGCUUGCUUCUCUGAUGUUAGCGGCGGACGGGUGAGUAACACGUGGAUAACCUACCUAUAAGACUGGGAUAGCUUCGGGAAACCGGAGCUAAUACCGGAUAAUAUUUUGAACCGCAUGGUUCAACAGUGAAAGACGGUCUUGCUGUCACUUAUAGAUGGAUCCGCGCUGCAUUAGCUAGUUGGUAAGGUAACGGCUUACCAAGGCAACGAUGCAUAGCCGACCUGAGAGGGUGAUCGGCCACACUGGAACUGAGACACGGUCCAGACUCCUACGGGAGGCAGCAGUAGGGAAUCUUCCGCAAUGGGCGAAAGCCUGACGGAGCAACGCCGCGUGAGUGAUGAAGGUCUUCGGAUCGUAAAACUCUGUUAUUAGGGAAGAACAUAUGUGUAAGUAACUGUGCACAUCUUGACGGUACCUAAUCAGAAAGCCACGGCUAACUACGUG
rnacentral:rRNA from 1 species